GAUGAACGCUCGCGGCAGGCUUAACACAUGCAAGUCGAGGGGCAGCAUAAUGGAUAGCAAUAUCUAUGGUGGCGACCGGCGCACGGGUGCGUAACGCGUAUGCAACCUACCUUUAACAGGGGGAUAACACUGAGAAAUUGGUACUAAUACCCCAUAAUAUCAUAGAAGGCAUCUUUUAUGGUUGAAAAUUCCGAUGGUUAGAGAUGGGCAUGCGUUGUAUUAGCUAGUUGGUGGGGUAACGGCUCACCAAGGCGACGAUACAUAGGGGGACUGAGAGGUUAACCCCCCACACUGGUACUGAGACACGGACCAGACUCCUACGGGAGGCAGCAGUGAGGAAUAUUGGUCAAUGGACGCAAGUCUGAACCAGCCAUGCCGCGUGCAGGAUGACGGCUCUAUGAGUUGUAAACUGCUUUUGUACGAGGGUAAACGCAGAUACGUGUAUCUGUCUGAAAGUAUCGUACGAAUAAGGAUCGGCUAACUCCGUG
rnacentral:rRNA from 1 species